rnacentral:rRNA from 1 species
CCUACGGGAGACAGCAGUGGGGAAUAUUGCACAAUGGGGGAAACCCUGAUGCAGCGACGCCGCGUGCGUGACGAAGUAUCUCGGUACGUCAAGCUCUUUCAGCAGGGAAGAAAAUGACGGUACCUGUCUCAUAAGCCCCGGCGAACUACGUGCCAGCAGCCGCGGUAAUACGUAGGGGGCAAGGGUUAUCCGGUUUUACUGGGUGUAAAGGGAGCGUUGACGGCAGCACAAGUCGGGAGUGAAAUCCCUGGGCUGAACCCGGGAACUGCUUUGGAAACUGGCAGGCUAGAGUGCAGGAGAGGUAAGCGGAAUUCCAAGUGUAGCGGUGAAAUGCGUAGAGAUUAGGAGGAAGACCGGUGGCGAAGGCGGCUUACUGGACAAAAACUGACGCUGAGGCGCGAAAGCGUGGGGAGCAAACAGGAUUAGAUACCCCAGUAGUC